rnacentral:lncRNA from 10 species
CUCCACUGCUCUCCGCCUGGCCCACCGGUAGUCAUCUGUCAGAACUGCCCCCAGUCCCUGGACUCCUCAGUGUUUCCUAAAUGCUCCUGUUCUGUGCUCCUCGGGCAUCUCAGGCAUCCUGUUACACCAGCCAUGGCGUUCGAAUGAAGAUCUCCUGAACAUCGACUGGAUAAAUAAAUACCUGAUGGAACGGAAUCAGGGCAGUUGGGGGCAACUGAUAAUAUCUGACACCAAAGGUCGACAUAUUUGGCAUAACUUGGCAGAUUUCAGAGUGACUCCCCCGGACCACCUGGUGUUUUUCUCUGAAAGCAGGGCUUGGUACCAGCACAAACAUUCCAUCUUCAGAAGUCCUAUUGGGUGUUUCAGGUACCACAUAAAAUGAUCUGGGAGAGAUAUCUAAUGACUCAGACUGUUUAAGAAACACAGAAAAAGGUGCCACUGACCCCUUUUUUGGGUCAUCUGUCUUCCUGUAAAGUCUAGAGAGUCAUGGACAGAUUCGUCUGAGGUCUCAUACCCUACCGCCGUCUUUUGUACUGUGUUACCUGAUCUCGUUGGCUUUCAGGACUACCAGAGAUUACUUUGUACUAAGAGAGAACUUGACCUUGGUGUAUGUGAUGACUGGAGAGUCACUGGCAGAACUGCAGUUUUGGAGGUGGCUGAGGGCUAUUGUUUACAAUAAAUGGUUAUUGCUACAGGACACUACUCAUUUCCUUGGGAGUUUAGAUGAGACAGGUGAGGUUUAAACCUUGGAGAAAUGUCUUUGUAGCACAGUGCACUGUAGAAGCAUUGCUUGGCCUGGUCCCAUGGUGUUUCCCUUUCUUUGUGAGGGGAGAAUCCAGGAUUCAGUGCAAAAUUAGAAUGCUUGAUUUAAAAAAAUCUAAUUGCUCUGCCUUCCAACUGUGACUGCUUUUCACGUAUUUAAAUUAUUCAGCUUUAAAAACUGCAAAUACUUUGUUGACCCUGUUCCUUAAUGGGCUCCACCUUAAGCCCAUUUGGAAAACAGACACUAAAUUAAAAGCUACCUAUCUAAAUGAAAUUGGCCUCCUUAUGAAAUUCUAUGGUAAAUUCCUAUGAUUUUGUGUUACCUUGAAAUUCAUUUUUAACCUUCCUCUAACAUACCCAAAUUCAUUCUUUAAAAAUAUUACAUUUUCUAUCUUUGAUUUGAGAUGCAAAUUUGCUACCCUGUUUCUCUAAAAUUCAGUAAGGGCUUCAGCCACAUGAAACAGAUAAACUUUAACCUUUUCCAUUUACAAAGACACAGUUUGAAUACAACUGUCCUUUUAAACUAGAGAGUUUUAUCUGACUCAUGGCUAAAGUUUUAAAACUAAACCUAUAAGAUCUUUAUGACUGCCUGUAUUUUUGUGUAUACAUGUGUACACAUCUUUUUUUUGUAUGUUGUCUAUAACACCAAACUGGCUUGUACAUAAGUGUACCCAUAAAUUAAAUAACUAGACCAAAUGCUUUUCAAAUUCACACGAUUUUAGUAAUCUUUGGUAAAUAAAGAUAAUUUAAAAAUUGUUGGUAAAAUAAAAUAGGAAGAGCUUCAUAAUUUGGACAUUUUUGUCUGUGUUUGCUGGUCAGACAAGUUUAUACUAUCUCUGCUAGAUAUUUUAAGGUCAUAAAACUGUAGCUUGUAUGAUAUUUUAAAAUAUUUGCUUAAUUUGUCUGUGAGCUUAUGUCUUUGGAUUUGAGCAUGUAGAUCUGGGAUCUGGACAGAUGGCCACAGUGAGGUCUGGGGACAAGUCCUCAGAGCCUAGACCACCAACUAAAAUGCAAAAUAAAGCUUAACAUGGCCUCUUUCUCCCUGGCCCAGCUUUUCCUCCUGGCCAUGCUGGGAGGGGUCCGAUCCUCCAAUCAUACUCUUCACAGCUCUCUCCUCUGUUCUGAGCUCUGUACUUGGUGUGGAAAUUCAGGAACCAGGUGAGCCAUUCUCUUCAUUGCCAUCUUUGGAUGCCAUGUAAAUAUUAGGGACCUAGGACAACUGGGGAAGACAUUAUAGAGGGUACCUGUUUCAUAAUUUCCUAAUUCUUUUCAGUAAUUUAAAAGUCUUAAGAUUGUGUUAUGUUAAAUUAAGUAAUAGCUAAUCAUAAAAUGUCUGAGUCAUUUCUAAGUAAGUUAAAAUACUGAAACAUUAAUUGUUAAACAUAAAUUCACAUUUAUAUACUUUAAUAUCAUAUUUCUAUAUGGCAUAGUAAAACUAAAUAUAUUUAGAUCUGUUAGUAAACAGAAAUUGAGAAAACCUCUUUCUAAGGAAUUAUAAAAUGGUUUUCAUCAAAAAAUACUAGUAUAAAAUCGUUCAAAAUUACUUACUUUUUAGGUUUUUCACUGAAAAUUAGUGACUAGGUUAAAACUGUGAUAUGGUUUGGCUGUGUCCCAACCUAAAUCUGGAAUUCUAGCUCCCAUAAUCCCCACAUGUUGUGGGAGGGACCAAGUGGGAGGUAAUUGAAUUAUGGGGGUGAGUCUUUCCCAUGCUGUCCUCAUGAUAUUGAAUAAAUCUCAAGAGAUCUGAUGGUUUUCUAAAUGGGGGUUCCCCUGCACAUGCUCUCUCUCACUUGCCUGCUGCCAUGUAAGAUGUGACUUGCUCCUUCUUGCCUUCCACCAGGAUUGUGAGGCUUCCCCAGCCAUAUGGAACUGUGAGUCAAUUAAACCUCAUUCCUUUAUAAUUACCCAGUCCUGGGUAUGUCUUUAUUAGCAGUAUGAGAACAAACUAAUGCAAACUGUAAUCAGUAUGUGUAACUAAAACUACCAGAUAUAAGAGAAACAUGUCUAUAUACAGAACAUAUAAAGAAAAUACGAUGUAAAGAAAGUUGAAAAGAUAGAGUAAUUUUUUUUUUUUACUUGAGAGAGAACUUUAUAUGGUCACAAUAAGGGAGAAGGGAAAGUAAAUUUUUGUCCUAUGGUAAAAUGUAGGAUACAACUGAUGUUUUAAGCAAGCUGUAGAAGGUUUGCGGAAGAUGGAUCUUGUGAAAGAAAUUUUGUGUGUGAUCAAGUUGGCUGAAAUUAAAAGGGGAUUAUUUAGUUUUUCUAAAAACUUAACAUUAAUAUUAAAAGCACACUGAUGCAGGGUCAGGAUCUGGGGCGUGCUAUUAGAAUAACAGGGUUUUCUUAGAGCAUUGUUCUGCUCUCUAAUAGAAAAUUUUAGGCCAGGCAUGGUGGCUCACGCUUGUAAUCCCAACACUUUAGGAGGCUGAGGUGGGCAGAUCACGAGGUCAGGAGUUCGAGACCAGCCUGGCCAACAUAGUGAAACCCCAUCUCUACUAAAAAUACAAAAAUUAGCCGGGCGUGGUGGCAAGUGCCUGUAGUCCCAGCUACUUGGUAGGCUGAGGCAGGAGAAUCAUUUGAAUCCAGGAGGCAGAGGUUGCAGUGAGCCAAGACUAUGCCAUUGCACUCUAGCCUGGGCAACAAAGGGAGACUCUGUCCCCCCCCCAAAAAAAAAGAAAGAAAGAAAGAAAAGAAAAGAAAAUUUUAAAAGGUUAUAAAAGGUUUAUGAAAAUCUUAUCUUGUGUGGUCAAAGCUGAUUAAGAUUGGAUGGAUUUGUUUAUAAGGUUUUAUUAAAAUAACUUUACCAUUAAUAAUACACUGAUGCAAAGGUAGAACUUGGUAUUUUCUUUUGAAUAGGAUUUUUACACAAUAUUAAUGAGAUAAUAAAAAUCUUUUGUUUACCUUUUGAGUAAACUGUCAAAAAAGAGAAAGAUUCUGUUGGUCUCAUACUGUCUUUAUUAGGUAUUUUGAUUUUUUGAAAAACUAAGUCUUCUCUCUAUCAAAGAAUAAAGAUUUUUGCCUUUUGAAAUCUUGGAAUUAUCAUUUUGGCUAAAUGAAUCUCAUUUUGUAGUUACUUAUGAUCCUAUUUUGAACAAAUGUUUUAAACCUUUAAUAUUUGACAUACUUCCUCAAAUCACAUUUCAAAUUCUAAAACUGUGUUUCCCAAAGUAACCCCUGUAAGUCCAAGACAGACAUAUUAGGCUUAUUUGGUAUAUUACAUUCAUACAGGAAGUACUAUCAAAUAAGAAAUGGUGUUUAGCAUUCUUUGGGUAUAUUUAUAUAAAUGUGUUAGUAAUAUGUGUCCUAAAAUUAUAUGAGCUUUCUAAAAUUCUGGUUUGCCUUGAUAUAUGUUAUCAGUGAUAAUUAUGCUUAUUAUGUUAAAUUAUUAUAGGCCACAGACAUAAACAAAUUUACUUUUCAAUUGUAUAUAUAACUAUGAUGAUUUUAAGUCAUUUGCACAGUUAAUUACUUAAUUCUGAUGCAUCUUCUAAAAGAUCUCUACAAGCAAGUAAAAUUCUAAAGUGUUGUGUCUUCAAAGAAGUUCAUGCAAGGAUGGAAAAGACUGAUGUGAAUAUAGGUUUCUGAUUACUUGGAGAUCAUACCAUUGGACUAAGAAAAAACUUCCAGGAUUCUAACUGAAGAGCUGAUAUGUUCAUGAGAAUUGCUAACCCAACAUCAAGUGGAACAAGAAUUAAUUCCAUGAGACUAAACUAAUAGAGGACUAAAAUAAUUUUUAAUGAUUUUUUUGUUUGAGAUAUUGCUGAUGCUUUUUAUGUUUUAUUUUCUAGAGUCAAGAAAACUAUUUUUUUUCUUUGUGAGCCAUUUACAGCUUAUAGCAAUUGGGUGAAGUAUACUUUUGUGAGUAAAGCCAAAACAAUUGACUUUCUCUGUAUCACAUUUCUCCAAAAUUUGGGAACUAUUUGUGAGUACUCUUAAUUUCUAGCAAUGUAGUUGUUUAUAUAAAUUCAACAAAAAUCUGUAUUCUUUUUUAAGAUACAUAAUUAGAUAUACUGGUUCUUUUACUGAAACUUUGACUGGAAUGGCAUAGUUUCAGAUAUAAUCAGACUGCUUUGAGGAAUUGAUGUGGACUUUAUAGAGCCAAUUAAAAAAACCCUUGGAAAGACUGGUCUGGUACUUUGUCUGCACAAUUCCUUUAUAAGGUUUCUGUCCUCAUGGUAACUAAAGAAUGUCACUUUCUGACAGGACCAGGAACUCAGGUUAUUUUGGGAUCUCAAGAAGAGCAGAGUUCACCCAUUUUUUACAAGUACUGCAGACAGUCUGAGGGCAAAUCCUUGGAUUGGCUGGCCUUGGGGCUUUUAAAAGCUGAAUCUAAAGCUACUGUGGAAGUCCCGGUAAAGCCAACUUAAAAGAGACUAUAUGGCCAUUCACUAUUCUUCUUGCACUUUAUGCAAAUAAGUAGGCAAAGCAUCAUAACACUAAAACUUAUUUUGCAAAUAAAUUGGUUCAACUAAGAUUUGUCUUUGGUAAAAAUGGAGAACUGGAUAAAGAAAAAAUGUUUCAGAAAAAAACUAUAGUAUGCCGGUUAUUAGAUUCUAGUCUUGUCCAUUGUUUUUGAGUUUUAUUAUUUGCCUACAAUUUGGAUUAAAUCUUGAAUUACUUCCCAGCUAUGAGUCUCUAAAGAAGAACCUGGAUUUAAUUUUCUUCAUGAUAUUUUUAGUUGACUGCCUAAUGGAAUAGUUCUGUCUUUGUUGCUGUUCUGGCAUUCAAAUUUUAUUUUUAGUUAUAAUCCUUACAUGGAUUAUAUUUCCACUAUCUCUUGUUGUUUUCCUUCUUCUGAUGAAACUAAAUUGACGAUACUCUGAAGUCUAGCUACGAUUCAACAAGCAACAGCAGCCAUAAAUCAAUGACUUUGACAGAACUACUUGGGAAUGAGCCUUCCUGAUGAUGGACACCUUGAAACUCAAAUUUUGAUCAUCAAUGCUGUUAAGAAGAAAGAUUUUUGAUCAAAAGGGGGAAAUGAGAGAAGAAAAUAACUUUCAUCUGAGGAAUGCAAGCUAUUUUAAUUAACAGGCCCAGAGAGACAUUAAAAUGAAACAGCAAUUACAUCCUCCUAGUCCCUUUGCGCUAUGUAUUUAUCUCUUGAAACUGCUGGCUAUCACCAUAAGUAGCUGUAACUUAACAUAAAGAUGCCACACUUGAUGCUACAACCCACACCCUAGAGCUUAACAAUGCAUAGCCAACCACUUGUCAAUGUUAUUUCUGUAAAUCAGUGAGAAUGCCUGACAAACAACUUUGUAUCAGCUCACUCCUUGUCUCCCAUUUUUUCCUUUAAAAAUCUAUUUGUAAUUGCUGCUAAUUUGAGUGAACAUUCAGAGCAAUUUGAAUCUAUGCUCCUGGCUUGCAAUUCUCAAGCUUGGCCCAAAUAAACUCUCUACUUAUACUAAUUUUGUCUCAGGUUCUUCCUUUUAAGUUGACAGGACAAAAAAUUAAAAAUGUCAAAAUAGUAUUUUUGAUUUAUUAAGGCUCAAGAUAGAACAAAAAUAUUUUUUCUUUUAAAAAUAAAAGCCUUAAUUUGUUAAGUUUUUAAAAGUGAUCUGUCAACAGGGUAAUUCAUAAGAUAAGAAGGAGAUAUGUGUGUGUGAAUAUAUAUACACAUAUAUAUUCAUAUAUGUGUGUAUAUAUAUAUACAUAUAUAUACAC